GGUCAAGCGAACAAGUGCAUGUGGUGGAUGCCUUGGCGAUCACAGGCGAUGAAGGACGCGGUAGCCUGCGAAAAGCCCCGGGGAGCUGGCAAACAAGCUUUGAUCCGGGGAUGUCCGAAUGGGGAAACCCACUCCGUAUGGAGUAUCCAUAGCUGAAUACAUAGGCUAUGUGAAGCGAACGCGGUGAACUGAAACAUCUAAGUAACCGCAGGAAAAGAAAUCAACCGAGAUUCCCAAAGUAGUGGCGAGCGAAAUGGGAUGAGCCUUGUACUCUUUAUUUGUAUUGUUAGCCGAACGCUCUGGAAAGUGCGGCCAUAGCAGGUGAUAGCCCUGUAGGCGAAAACAGUAUGAAAGAACUAGGUGUACGACAAGUAGGGCGGGACACGUGAAAUCCUGUCUGAAGAUGGGGGGACCAUCCUCCAAGGCUAAAUACUCGUGAUCGACCGAUAGUGAACCAGUACCGUGAGGGAAAGGCGAAAAGAACCCCGGGAGGGGAGUGAAAUAGAUCCUGAAACCGCAUGCAUACAAACAGUCGGAGCCUCGUAAGGGGUGACGGCGUACCUUUUGUAUAAUGGGUCAGCGACUUACGUUCAGUAGCAAGCUUAACCGUAUAGGGCAGGCGUAGCGAAAGCGAGUCCGAAUAGGGCGUUCAGUUGCUGGGCGUAGACCCGAAACCAGGUGAUCUAUCCAUGGCCAGGAUGAAGGUGCGGUAACACGUACUGGAGGUCCGAACCCACUAACGUUGAAAAGUUAGGGGAUGAGCUGUGGAUAGGGGUGAAAGGCUAAACAAACCUGGAAAUAGCUGGUUCUCUCCGAAAACUAUUUAGGUAGUGCCUCGUGUCUCACCUUCGGGGGUAGAGCACUGUCAUGGUUGGGGGGUCUAUUGCAGAUUACCCCGCCAUAGCAAACUCCGAAUACCGAAGAGUGCAAUCACGGGAGACAGACAUCGGGUGCUAACGUCCGGUGUCAAGAGGGAAACAACCCAGACCGCCAGCUAAGGUCCCCAAAUAUGGCUAAGUGGGAAACGAAGUGGGAAGGCUAAAACAGUCAGGAGGUUGGCUUAGAAGCAGCCACCCUUUAAAGAAAGCGUAAUAGCUCACUGAUCGAGUCGUCCUGCGCGGAAGAUGUAACGGGGCUAAGCCAUAUACCGAAGCUGCGGAUGCGUGCUUGCACGCAUGGUAGGAGAGCGUUCCGUAAGCCUGCGAAGGUGCCUUGUAAAGGGUGCUGGAGGUAUCGGAAGUGCGAAUGCUGACAUGAGUAGCGAUAAAGGGGGUGAAAGGCCCCCUCGCCGUAAGCCCAAGGUUUCCUACGCAACGUUCAUCGGCGUAGGGUGAGUCGGCCCCUAAGGCGAGGCAGAAAUGCGUAGCUGAUGGGAAGCAGGUCAAUAUUCCUGCACC
rnacentral:rRNA from 1 species